rnacentral:rRNA from 1 species
GCUCGCUUGGGAGAGUAAAGUGGCGCACGGGUGAGUAACGCGUGGGUAACCUACCCUUGAAUCGGGGAUAACUCCGCGAAAGCGGAGCUAAUACCGGAUAAGACCACGGCCGCUCCGGGGCGAGGUAAAAGCUGACCUCUCCAUGGAAGUUAGCGUUUGGGGACGGGCCCGCGGCCUAUCAGCUUGUUGGUGGGGUAAGGCCACCAAGGCAACGACGGGUAGCUGGUCUGAGAGGAGAUCAGCCACACUGGAACUGGACACGGUCAGACUCUACGGAGGCAGCAGGAGGAAUGCGCAUGGGAACCUGCGAGCACCGCGGGUGAGAGGCUUUCGGGUCGUAAAGCCUGUCAGGUGGGAGAACCGAUCCGGCACUAAUAUUGCCGAACCUGACGGUACCACCAGAGGAAGCACCGGCCAACUCCGUGCCAGCAGCCGCGGUAAUACGGAGGGUGCAAGCGUUGUUCGGAAUUAUUGGGCGUAAAGAGCGUGUAGGCGGUUAGGAAAGUCAGAUGUGAAAGCCCUGGGCUCAACCCAGGAAGUGCAUUUGAAACUUCCUAACUUGAGUACGGGAGAGGAGGGGGGAAUUCCCGGUGUAGAGGUGAAAUUCGUAGAUAUCGGGAGGAAUACCGGUGGCGAAGGCGCCCCUCUGGACUGAUACUGACGCUGAGACGCGAAAGCGUGGGGAGCAAACAGGAUUAGAUACCCUGGUAGUCCACGCCGUAAACGAUGAGCACUAGGUGUAGCGGGUAUUGACCCCUGCUGUGCCGUAGCUAACGCAUUAAGUGCUCCGCCUGGGGAUUACGGUCGCAAGACUAAAACUCAAAGGAAUUGACGGGGGCCCGCACAAGCGGUGGAGCAUGUGGUUUAAUUCGACGCAACGCGAAGAACCUUACCUGGGCUUGACAUCCCCGGACAGCCCUGGAAACAGGGUCUUCCACUACGGGGGACCGGGUGACAGGUGCUGCAUGGCUGUCGUCAGCUCGUG